rnacentral:rRNA from 1 species
UACGUAGGUGGCAAGCGUUGUCCGGAUUUACUGGGCGUAAAGAGCGCGCAGGCGGUCGAUUUAGUCGCGUGUGAAAGCCCCCGGCUCAACUGGGGAGGGUCACGCGAUACUGAUCGACUCGAAGGCAGGAGAGGGUAGUGGAAUUCCCGGUGUAGUGGUGAAAUGCGUAGAUAUCGGGAGGAACACCAGUGGCGAAGGCGACUACCUGGCCUGUUCUUGACGCUGAGGCGCGAAAGCUAGGGGAGCAA